UAGGGUAAAGGCAAUGUGUUCUUCCCUUCCCUCUGAUUACCGCACACUGAUUCCUCUUACUGGUCUCUCCUCUGUUAUGUGGUUAGACUCUUCAUGGAUUUUGAAUCUUUUUGAACUCCUACCACCAUUGUAUCAGUGGGAUGUGUAGUGUGUGCAAUGCAGAUAAUCCCAGAAAUAACAGCUGAAGGACAUCGUGGAGCAGCCAGGCAAUGGAGAUCAACCUAGGAGGACAUCUCUUUCACCAUGACAUCAAACAUAUUCCCUGAUGUCAUCGCUUUUUAACAGGUCUUAUUAUGUCGCCCUGGUUGGACUAAAACUAUGUGAAAACACUGUCCUCAUACUCACAAAGUUCCUUCUGCCUCCUGAAUGCUGGAAUCAAAGGCUCAUUUAUCCUGUUGCUACAAAAUUUCUUCACUGACAUUACAAACAACUUCUAUGGGAGUGCAAUGUAAAUUAAUUACCAACAGCUUCCAGGAAUCCUCCAGGACAUCAGGGCCAGAUUGGAACUGACGAUACAUCCGGCCCUGUGAACAGAACAACUGUUGGAUUCUCUGCCUCUUCAGUGUGAGAUGCCACUGUUGGACUAUCAUGAUCAUAUCCUUUUAAUAUAUGUUAUCUAUUUUAAGUAUCAUCUAUUUUAAUAUAUUUA